GGCCUUAUUCUGAGCAGUCACAUCAAUAGGGGCCUGUCUUUGAGCUGAUCCCUCAGCAAGUGACUCAGCAGUCUGACACUCCCUGUGAAACAGGCCAUCUGCAGAAGAAGAGAAAAUUUCAGGCAGCAAGUUAUUUAAAGGAAUUUGCAUCAUUACAUAGGGCAGAAAAAGAAGCCUAGAACUUUCCACAUUCAGUCAGUGAAUAUUAGAAAUAUGAAGAUCAAUCUUGCAGAAGCACUUUAAGACUUCUUUUUGGCAUAUCGAAAUUGCUGGCAUCACUACUCUUGCCCUUUGGGACCAUUAUUAAGUAAAGUAAGAAGUACUUGAACACGAGCUCUGAGAAACUGCAACAGAGACCCGACAACCAAGAUGGCUGCUGACCACCUAAAGGGUGGGGAACAUCUAGGGCGUGGAUCCUCUGGAAGGAGGGAAGAUGGGAAGAUUCAUGUUCAAGUGAGAGGGAGCAGGACAUCGUGAGAUUUCAUCACACUACUUAGAAUGGCGUGCAAUUUAAAACUUAUGACUUAUUUCUGGAAUUUUCUAUGAAAUAUUUUAGAAUUGGACUUGACUAUAGAUGACUAAAACUGUAGAAAAUGAAACAGCAGAUAAGAGGGACUAUUGUAUAUCAAUACUUCAUAGAUAAAUUUCAGGAAGAUAGUAGAGGUCAUGUUGAUAAAAUAAAAAAUAAAAGAGAGAAGGAAUCUUUUUGAUUU